CUUAUCUUUUGGCAUUUGCCUAUUAAAUGAGUUAUUGUUGAGGCAUUUAAAUGUGUGAAUCAUCUCUCCAAACUCUCUCAUUAAUGCUCAAAGCCAUUUCAUUUCCUCUUCAUCAUCAUCAUCGUCAACAAAGGAAAUGGAGAAUUAUAGACUGAGGUUUCUGUGGUUACCUUUGGGGUUUUUUCUUCUUCUCCUCGUCUGUGCUAAAGCUGAAAGUAAGUAAUCUUAAUUUCUUUUUUUUUUUUUUUCUUUUAAUUUUAAACUUAUGAAAAUAAUAAUAAUAAUAAUAAUUNNNNNNNNNNNNNNNNNNNNNNNNNNNNNNNNNNNNNNNNNNNNNNNNNNNNNNNNNNNNNNNNNNNNNNNNNNNNNNUUUUUUUUUUCUUUUAUAAGCAUUUUUUGAAAUUAUUUAUAUUGUAAGAAAUAAUUCAAAUAAAUAUUUAUAUUUUUAAAUUUUAAAUAAAUAAUUUUUAAAAUAAUUGAUAUAAAUUUUGGUGAAUGAUUUUAUAGGUCUCUACAAAUUGCGCCACAAAUCUACACCUAAAUGGAGUGUUGAAUAUAAAUGGAUCUGCGCUUACAGACUUCUGCACUGGUGGGUGCGCAGAACACACUCAUAAUGUGCUUACUUGUAUUUAUUAUGCCAAAAGAGAUUUCUGGUUCGCAAAUGGCGCUACCGUUAAAAACCUCACUGAAACUAUUCAUCAUGGAUGCUCCACUAAUACAAGUGAGUUUUUUGCUACUAUCAUAAACAAGUGGGUUAUAUACAUGGGAAACACUUGUCUAGACUUCGUUCAUCAUGGAUUAAACCAUAUAAAUGGGUUUUCUAUAAAAAAAAAAAUGAGACCCACAUAUUUAUGUUUUAAAAUUAAUUUGAUUCAUUCAAACAGAUCUAAACUGUCCCAAAUAACUUUUAGAUUCACUUUGUAUUUGGCCCAAAAUUGUUAAUCCAAAUUAUUUAGUAGUUUCGUGCUAACUAUUAUAUACAGUUAGAAAUUGUCAUAUCCGUCGAUGCGGAUGUCUCUUAAAUCUAAGCUUUGAAAUUGAUGUAAUCCAUGAUGUAUGAGGUUCAUUAGAUAUGUGAUUUAAACUCGAGAGUUUAUGAUUUUAAAAAUAAUUACGAUAUUAAUAUUUUUUUUGAAUAUAUAUCGUAUUAAUAAAUUAAAAUUCCUAAUUAAGUGUGUGUUUAGGAGAAUGUAAUUAUAAAAUAAAUAAAUAAAAAUUUUAAUUUGAAUAAUAAACUGAGUUUUUUAUUUUUUUAUUUGAGGUGCAGGUAUUAAUACAGAUUUCAAAAGCAGUGCAAUGAGGGUAUACCAAAAUCUAUUGGUUCCAUUGGUUUCAUCUAUAGCAACAAUGCUCAUAGUUAACAUCUUCCACAUGUGAGGGUUUUUCAGUAUAUUGGAUGUAUCCCACAAUAAAAUCUAUAAUAAUUUGGGAACUUUUCUCUUAAAUAAUGUCUCUAUUCUAUUCUGUAUACAUGCAAAUUUUAUUUUAUUUUUCUUUUGGAGACAGGUUUUUUUAUGUAUUUGGCUAUAUUGGGAAGAAUCCCACAAUAAAUCUAUAAUUACUGGGGAACUUUUUAUAUAA
rnacentral:lncRNA from 1 species